UACGGGGGGGGCAAGCGUUGUUCGGAAUUACUGGGCGUAAAGGGCUCGUAGGCGGCCAACUAAGUCAGACGUGAAAUCCCUCGGCUUAACCGGGGAACUGCAUCUGAUACUGGAUGGCUUGAGUUCGGGAGAGGGAUGCGGAAUUCCAGGUGUAGCGGUGAAAUGCGUAGAUAUCUGGAGGAACACCGGUGGCGAAGGCGGCAUCCUGGACCGACACUGACGCUGAGGUGCGAAAGCGUGGGGAGCAAACAGG
rnacentral:rRNA from 1 species